CUGGCGGCGUGCCUAAUACAUGCAAGUCGAACGGUCUUUCUAUGGAAGCUUGCUCCACUGAGAAGAUAGUGGCGAACGGGUGAGUAACAACGUGGGUAACCUGCCCAUAAGAGGGGGGAUAACAUCCGGAAACGGGUGCUAAUACCGCAUAGUUUUCUUGGUCGCAUGAUCGGGAAAGGAAAGACGGCCUUUGUGCUGUCGCUUAUGGAUGGACCCGCGGCGUAUUAGUUAGUUGGUGAGGUAACGGCUCACCAAGACGAUGAUACGUAGCCGACCUGAGAGGGUGAUCGGCCACAUUGGGACUGAGACACGGCCCAAACUCCUACGGGAGGCAGCAGUAGGGAAUCUUCCGCAAUGGACGAAAGUCUGACGGAGCAACGCCGCGUGAGUGAAAGAAGGUUUUCGGAUCGUAAAACUCUGUUGUCAGAGAAGAACAAGUUGGAGAGUAACUGCUCCAGCCUUGACGGUAUCUGACCAGAAAGCCACGGCUAACUACGUGCCAGCCGCCGC
rnacentral:rRNA from 1 species